CAUUUUAAUCAGGAGCACACACAUCUAAGGAGCAUGAUAACAAGAUAAACUUCUAAUGCAGUAUUUUGUUUUUAUCGUAAGUAAGAUUUGAUUAAGCUCUCUAUUCCCUCCCAAACACUUUAGUCUGUCGUUAAUCCUACCAAAGGAACAUCUAAGCAUCUGUACUUCAUUAUUGCUUUUCUCUGUGAAAAUGGAACCUUCAGUACUGUUGCCAUGACCCAACACUGAUGAACGGAGCAACCUCAAGUUGAUAAAUUGGAAGACAGCAGCAUCCAGAGGAAACCAGUGAGGUCACAGUGAGAACAUAGAAACUCCACACCAGCAGCACCUGCAAACAGGUUCUUUCCAGGCUUCUGUGUUUCGUGGCUGCCUGUAAGGAGAUGAAUCUCAAGGUUGUAUGAUGUAUACAUACUUUGAUAAUGAAUGCACUUUGAACUUUGAACACGAUGCACACCCUGUUUUGCAGAUAUUUGCCUAGCCUCCUUUUGAACGUACCCGUACUGCUGCCCCUGACGCUUUGUGAACAACUGGCUAUGUCCAUAAAUUGGACCACCUUCUGGGGCAGGAAGGACCUCUACAAAAGGGAUGAGUUGCACAUGAAUCUGAGGGGGACAAAUAUUCUUGUGAGCAGAGGUACUGGAUGUGGUGAACUACAUAUACCUGUCUGGACAAGCCCCCCCUGCUGACUGCUCCUGUGGCUCCUCCCACAAGCUGUGGCUCCUCCCACGGACCCCGGUAUAAAGGCGAUUGGAGACACAGCCCCAGCCUCAGUCUCCAGGAUGUAGUGUGGUGGUCAAUUGCUGCUUGUUCUUUCUUCCAGCCAAUAAAAGCCUAUAUCUUGC